AUUGCCAUUGCUAUAUCGUUUCGUUGAAGCGUGCGCCUCUUAUUAUCUUCCGUGUGCACCCACGCCCUUAAUGUUAGUUCGUGUAUAAAAAUCUCCGCUGCUUUAGAGAACAACAUAGGAGCUUCUGCGCUAAUCAUUUUCACAUCACCAUCUAAUUUCAUUAUUUUCUUUAUCCUCGCUAAUGGUAAUGAUUGUGUCUUCAGGUCCAUCUGUAAAUGCAUUCAAUUCAUUAGUAUCGAUCGUAUAAAAUUCACAAUAUUUAUCGAAUACUUACAGUAGUAAUUUUUUUAAUUUCCUCUGUAACCUUUGGCCAAAACUGAGCCAAAGCUUGUUGGGCUUCUGAAUUGCCAGGUGAUGCAAUUUGUAAAUCUCCAUUAGAAUCUCCUUCGACUUCGCUAUCUUGGUUGCUGAAUAGUUUAAAAUAACAGCCGUUAUUAAUACCAUUAUUACAAUGAAAUAGAAUAUUAUUUAUUUCACUGGUUUCAUAAUCUUGCAAACAUAAUGUACGGCACAUCCUUUUAAACUACGUUAACUAUAUAAAUAAUUCAAAAAACGUACAUAACCUAACAGUGGGAAGGUAAAUAUUCUUACUUACGCAUUCACAAAAAAUACCGACAUUUUUUAUGAGUUAAUUUUGAAACGAUAUAAAACAAAAUUUGUUAAACUCUAAAUACCAUCCUGCAGCUUUUAAUUAACACCAAUUAACUUACAAAUGUUUUAGUUUAUUCACAAUCACUGGAAUUCACAACAGAUUUAUUGUUUGCAUCAGCAAAUGUGCUGCCUCCACUUUAGUGACUUUAUUUUGCUUUGUAGUUCAAUGCAUCCAUGAAAGAUGGCAAUAACACAUAUUUUCUGUAAAGGAUAUAGGCAAUGUAAUUUCCUGUUUUAUCAAUAUUGUAUACAUUAGUUACCUACUUUUUCGAUUAUGUCAACAUCAUGAUGAUCAGUCAGUUCACCUUAUCCCGGAUCCCGGAUAUAAUUAAAGUUUUCAUUAAAUUACUCCAACAAAUGUAGAAACUUGAACAAGGAACAACAAGAAAUUAUAACUUUGUGCACGGAUAUACGAUAUGUAUACACUCGGUGUCAGCUAAAAAGGUCACCUAAAUUCUCUUCAACAAAUCUUUUUAUUUAUGUAUCAAAAAACCAUUUUUUACGUGAUGUGAAUGGUAACCAACAAAAGUGUUUCUCUUUCAAGAUAAUUUUGUAUAACUGAACAAAUAAUGUAUUAACAAUAUGAUAAUAUGACAUUGAAAUCACCUUGAUCUCUCAUCAGUUGUGUAGCAACAUAUGUUUCUUAUAUUCAGCUGAUUAUGUUUGGUAAAAUAUGCUUCUUCGAUAAGUCUUUUAAAAAAUGUGUUUGUCAUUUCCGCACUGCUAUGCAAAAUCCCGCUAAAAAAUAUGCAUUCUAACAAAAUCUGUUAUCCGUGAAAAUCUUGCAUUUUUAUUCUUGCUAUCAUAAAUUACGAAAUACAUAUUUAUCUGUUUCAAGUAAGUAUACCUAGUAUUGGUACUGUAUCGAUGAAUACAUUUUUCUAUAAUCGUACGAGUUUUAUGAUUCUGUGGUUACGCAAACCAAUGUGGACUUGUGACCUAACGAGGAAAACAUUGAACUUGUAAGACCAGAUACGGUUAAUCUAGGUUAAUAAGUAUUCUAUUCUUACUUAGAGAAUCUCAUGUUGUGUAUUAAUAUUUCGAAUUUUUAGAAUCCCUGGAAAUCUUGAAAAUUUUAAAUGAAUAUUACAGAUUUUUGUGGAACCUGAAAAAAUUAUACUAAACGUACGUACAUAGUAUACACAGUCAGUAUAAAAAUCUAUAUGUAAUACCCGUUAAUUAGAAAUUUUCGUAAUUUAUACAAUUAUAUAUGUUUUAAGAGUAAAUAGAACGUAUAGGUGUGAAAAGUAUUAGUUAUUAAUAAAUAAUCUUUUUAGAUA